rnacentral:rRNA from 1 species
AGAGUUUGAUCCUGGCUCAGGAUGAACGCUAGCGACAGGCUUAACACAUGCAAGUCGAGGGGCAGCGGGGUAGUGCUUGCACUACUGCCGGCGACCGGCGCACGGGUGAGUAACACGUAUGGAACCUGCCCGCAGCAGGGGGAUAAGCGGAAGAAAUUCCGUCUAAUACCGCGUAACAACGUUGGGAGGCAUCUCCCGAUGUUUAAAGAUUUAUCGGCUGCGGAUGGCCAUGCGGCGCAUUAGCUAGUCGGCGGGGUAACGGCCCACCGAGGCGACGAUGCGUAGGGGUUCUGAGAGGAAGGUCCCCCACACUGGUACUGAGACACGGACCAGACUCCUACGGGAGGCAGCAGUGAGGAAUAUUGGUCAAUGGCCGAGAGGCUGAACCAGCCAAGUCGCGUGAGGGAAGACGGCCCUACGGGUUGUAAACCUCUUUUGCCGGGGAGCAAAGAGCGGGACGCGUCCCGCCUCGAGAGUACCCGGAGAAAAAGCAUCGGCUAACUCCGUGCCAGCAGCCGCGGUAAUACGGAGGAUGCGAGCGUUAUCCGGAUUUAUUGGGUUUAAAGGGUGCGCAGGCGGGAUGCCAAGUCAGCGGUCAAAUUUCGGGGCUCAACCCCGACCUGCCGUUGAAACUGGUGUCCUAGAGUGGGCGAGAAGUAUGCGGAAUGCGUGGUGUAGCGGUGAAAUGC